CUGUGUGUAAUGCUGUGGUGUUCGAGGAAUCAAAAGUCAUCAAAAGUUCAGGAAGUGCCUCCAUGAGAAUCUUCAAUACCUCUACAGCAUAGCAUGGAGAAUAUUCAGAACAGCAGCUCGAAUCCAACAAUGAUUAGUCAUUAUGAAAAGGGGCAAACUGAGAUGCUAGUACCCUACUUAACAAGGUAAGUUUCAUACUAAAGAUGUAAUGACAUAACAUCAACCACAUUCAAACACUUGAAAUAUAUCAAACAUAAAAUUGCGAAAACUGGAUAUUGCAUGUUUAAAUGGAAGUUGAAAAGCUUACCCAAGCAUCCUUGCUUAGCAGCAAUGUGGAAUGCAUCGUAGCCAUUUCUUGCUUUGAUACCAGCCAAACUAGUAUCAUGAUACCUGAUCAUUUCCCUCACCAUAUCAACAUAACCAUACUCAGCAGCGACAUACAGUGCAGUUUCACCAGAUUGGUUCAUUUUCGACAACAUCUCUCUCAACUCCAUAUCCCCAUAACUAGAAAUCAUAUCCAAAACCAAUUCAACACUUCCUGUUCUCACCAGAGACUGCAAUGGUGUGUCAUCUCGCUUUGCUGUCAACUGUUUUUUCAUCUUUUUCCAGCUUUGCUGCUGCUCCGAAGGAGGCUCCAUCCUAAUCAAUUCCCUAUUAAUAACAAGGGUCUUUUUUUUUUUUUUAAUAAUUCUUUUGAUCUUAUCAGAACUUCAAUUAUUCAUUACAUGAAUAAUUCUUUUGAUCUUAUCAGAACUUUUUUAAUAAUUCUUUUGAUCUUAUCAGAACUUCAAUUAUUCAUUACAUGCCAAGAUCAAAACCAAAAUAGGCAACUUGUAAAUUGAUAUAACGAUAUUAGAUAAAGAUGAUGCACGAGGGAAACCCGGGAGUUUGAUUCCUUUGAUAAACUAAUCAAAUCUCUUACAUGUUCUGCAAGCAAAAUUUAGUAUUAAAUUAAUACCCCCUUGUCCUUUAAUCAAUCAACAUCAUAUUAGCACCAUUUCUUCAUCAAUCAUUGUUAUCAACGAAAGAAAACAAAGAAAAAAAAAAGAAAAUGUAAAUAGUAAAUACUAAACAAAUGUUCAAAACAGUAAAUCUUGAAAAAUUGAACCAAAGUUGAAAAUUUUAUUCAAAUGUCUGCUUGAAUUGAAAUCUUAUAAGGUCAAAAGAAACCAAAAUUUCAAACUUUAGUAAAAUAAAUACUAAUUAUCAACUGACCUUG
rnacentral:lncRNA from 1 species